rnacentral:rRNA from 1 species
AACGAACGCUGGCGGCAGGCCUAACACAUGCAAGUCGAGCGCCCCGCAAGGGGAGCGGCGGACGGGUGAGUAACGCGUGGGAACGUGCCCCUUUCUACGGAAUAGCCUCGGGAAACUGGGAGUAAUACCGUAUAAGCCCUACGGGGGAAAGAUUUAUCGGGAAGGGAUCGGCCCGCGUUGGAUUAGGUAGUUGGUGGGGUAAUGGCCUACCAAGCCGACGAUCCAUAGCUGGUUUGAGAGGAUGAUCAGCCACACUGGGACUGAGACACGGCCCAGACUCCUACGGGAGGCAGCAGUGGGGAAUCUUAGACAAUGGGCGCAAGCCUGAUCUAGCCAUGCCGCGUGAGCGGUGAAGGCCUUAGGGUUGUAAAACUCUUUCAGGGGGGAAGAUAAUGACUGUACCCCCAGAAGAAGCCCCGGCUAACUCCGUGCCAGCCGCCGCCGUAAAAC